CCCACCUCGGCUGCUUCUGCUGAGAUUCCCAACACUGCUGUGUCACGGAGGCCGAACCAUGACAGUGCCUGGCAGAGUCCAAAGACGAUGAAUGCUGGGUGUGACUCCAUUGCCGGAAGCUGAGGGGCUGAGGAGCCGGCUCAUCUAGUGGAGGUGCUGGCUGCCAGGCCUGAUGGCCUGAGCUUGGUCCUUGGGAUGUGGAUGAUGGCAGAAGAUGAGCCGUGGAGAUAAUAUUUUCAUCAGCACGAUCUAAUGUGGAAAGAUA